CGGUGGAUGCCCUGGCAGUCAGAGGCGAUGAAGGACGUGCUAAUCUGCGAUAAGCGUCGGUAAGGUGAUAUGAACCGUUAUAACCGGCGAUUUCCGAAUGGGGAAACCCAGUGUGAUUCGUCACACUAUCAUUAACUGAAUCCAUAGGUUAAUGAGGCGAACCGGGGGAACUGAAACAUCUAAGUACCCCGAGGAAAAGAAAUCAACCGAGAUUCCCCCAGUAGCGGCGAGCGAACGGGGAGCAGCCCAGAGCCUGAAUCAGUGUGUGUGUUAGUGGAAGCGUCUGGAAAGGCGCGCGAUACAGGGUGACAGCCCCGUACACAAAAAUGCACAUACUGUGAGCUCGAUGAGUAGGGCGGGACACGUGGUAUCCUGUCUGAAUAUGGGGGGACCAUCCUCCAAGGCUAAAUACUCCUGACUGACCGAUAGUGAACCAGUACCGUGAGGGAAAGGCGAAAAGAACCCCGGCGAGGGGAGUGAAAAAGAACCUGAAACCGUGUACGUACAAGCAGUGGGAGCCUCUUUUAUGGGGUGACUGCGUACCUUUUGUAUAAUGGGUCAGCGACUUAUAUUCUGUAGCAAGGUUAACCGAAUAGGGGAGCCGAAGGGAAACCGAGUCUUAACUGGGCGUUAAGUUGCAGGGUAUAGACCCGAAACCCGGUGAUCUAGCCAUGGGCAGGUUGAAGGUUGGGUAACACUAACUGGAGGACCGAACCGACUAAUGUUGAAAAAUUAGCGGAUGACUUGUGGCUGGGGGUGAAAGGCCAAUCAAACCGGGAGAUAGCUGGUUCUCCCCGAAAGCUAUUUAGGUAGCGCCUCGUGAAUUCAUCUCCGGGGGUAGAGCACUGUUUCGGCAAGGGGGUCAUCCCGACUUACCAACCCGAUGCAAACUGCGAAUACCGGAGAAUGUUAUCACGGGAGACACACGGCGGGUGCUAACGUCCGUCGUGAAGAGGGAAACAACCCAGACCGCCAGCUAAGGUCCCAAAGUCAUGGUUAAGUGGGAAACGAUGUGGGAAGGCCCAGACAGCCAGGAUGUUGGCUUAGAAGCAGCCAUCAUUUAAAGAAAGCGUAAUAGCUCACUGGUCGAGUCGGCCUGCGCGGAAGAUGUAACGGGGCUAAACCAUGCACCGAAGCUGCGGCAGCGACACUUAUGUGUUGUUGGGUAGGGGAGCGUUCUGUAAGCCUGUGAAGGUGUGCUGUGAGGUAUGCUGGAGGUAUCAGAAGUGCGAAUGCUGACAUAAGUAACGAUAAAGCGGGUGAAAAGCCCGCUCGCCGGAAGACCAAGGGUUCCUGUCCAACGUUAAUCGGGGCAGGGUGAGUCGACCCCUAAGGCGAGGCCGAAAGGCGUAGUCGAUGGGAAACAGGUUAAUAUUCCUGUACUUGGUGUUACUGCGAAGGGGGGACGGAGAAGGCUAUGUUGGCCGGGCGACGGUUGUCCCGGUUUAAGCGUGUAGGCUGGUUUUCCAGGCAAAUCCGGAAAAUCAAGGCUGAGGCGUGAUGACGAGGCACUACGGUGCUGAAGCAACAAAUGCCCUGCUUCCAGGAAAAGCCUCUAAGCAUCAGGUAACAUCAAAUCGUACCCCAAACCGACACAGGUGGUCAGGUAGAGAAUACCAAGGCGCUUGAGAGAACUCGGGUGAAGGAACUAGGCAAAAUGGUGCCGUAACUUCGGGAGAAGGCACGCUGAUAUGUAGGUGAAGUCCCUUGCGGAUGGAGCUGAAAUCAGUCGAAGAUACCAGCUGGCUGCAACUGUUUAUUAAAAACACAGCACUGUGCAAACACGAAAGUGGACGUAUACGGUGUGACGCCUGCCCGGUGCCGGAAGGUUAAUUGAUGGGGUUAGCGGUAACGCGAAGCUCUUGAUCGAAGCCCCGGUAAACGGCGGCCGUAACUAUAACGGUCCUAAGGUAGCGAAAUUCCUUGUCGGGUAAGUUCCGACCUGCACGAAUGGCGUAAUGAUGGCCAGGCUGUCUCCACCCGAGACUCAGUGAAAUUGAACUCGCUGUGAAGAUGCAGUGUACCCGCGGCAAGACGGAAAGACCCCGUGAACCUUUACUAUAGCUUGACACUGAACAUUGAGCCUUGAUGUGUAGGAUAGGUGGGAGGCUUUGAAGUGUGGACGCCAGUCUGCAUGGAGCCGACCUUGAAAUACCACCCUUUAAUGUUUGAUGUUCUAACGUUGGCCCCUGAUCGGGGUUGCGGACAGUGUCUGGUGGGUAGUUUGACUGGGGCGGUCUCCUCCUAAAGAGUAACGGAGGAGCACGAAGGUUGGCUAAUCCUGGUCGGACAUCAGGAGGUUAGUGCAAUGGCAUAAGCCAGCUUGACUGCGAGCGUGACGGCGCGAGCAGGUGCGAAAGCAGGUCAUAGUGAUCCGGUGGUUCUGAAUGGAAGGGCCAUCGCUCAACGGAUAAAAGGUACUCCGGGGAUAACAGGCUGAUACCGCCCAAGAGUUCAUAUCGACGGCGGUGUUUGGCACCUCGAUGUCGGCUCAUCACAUCCUGGGGCUGAAGUAGGUCCCAAGGGUAUGGCUGUUCGCCAUUUAAAGUGGUACGCGAGCUGGGUUUAGAACGUCGUGAGACAGUUCGGUCCCUAUCUGCCGUGGGCGCUGGAGAACUGAGGGGGGCUGCUCCUAGUACGAGAGGACCGGAGUGGACGCAUCACUGGUGUUCGGGUUGUCAUGCCAAUGGCACUGCCCGGUAGCUAAAUGCGGAAGAGAUAAGUGCUGAAAGCAUCUAAGCACGAAACUUGCCCCGAGAUGAGUUCUCCCUGACUCCUUGAGAGUCCUGAAGGAACGUUGAAGACGACGACGUUGAUAGGCCGGGUGUGUAAGCGCAGCGAUGCGUUGAGCUAACCGGUACUAAUGAACCGUGAGGCUUAACCUU
rnacentral:rRNA from 1 species